AUUGAACGCUGGCGGCAGGCCUAACACAUGCAAGUCGAACGAGUGGCGGACGGGUGAGUCAUGUCUGGGAAACUGCCUGAUGGAGGGGGAUAACUACUGGAAACGGUAGCUAAUACCGCAUACCAUCGGAUGUGCCCAGAUGGGAUUAGCUAGUAGGUGGGGUAACGGCUCACCUAGGCGACGAUCCCUAGCUGGUCUGAGAGGAUGACCGGCACAACGGGAACUGGGAAACGGUCCGAACUCCUACGGGAGGCAGCAGUGGGGAAUAUUGCACAAUGGGCGCAAGCCUGAUACAGCCAGGCCGCGUGUAUGAAGAAGGCCUUCGGGUUGUAAAGUACUUUCAGCGGGGAGGCGUUACCCGCAGAAGAAGCACCGGCUAACUCCGUGCCAGCAGCCGCGGUAAUUC
rnacentral:rRNA from 1 species